rnacentral:lncRNA from 1 species
AUGGCCCCCUACGGGACCGGGACCGGCCCCACCGGGACCUGGGGCACCGGGACCGGGGGUACCGGGGGUGUGGGCAUCGGGCAUCGCCCCCUACGGGACCGGGAGCACCGGGACUGGGAUCUGCCCCACCGGGACCGGGGGCACCGGGAGCACCGGGCAUGGCCCCCUAUGGGACCGGGACUGGCCCCACCGGGACCAGGACCUGCCCCACCGGGACCUGGGGCACCGGGACCAGGAACACCGGGACCGGGGGCACUGGGGGUGUGGGCAUCAGGCAUGGCCCCCACUGGGACCGGGGGCACCGGGAGCACCGGGCAUGGCCCCCUACAGGACCGGGACCGGCCCCACCGGGACCGGGACCGACCCCACAGGGAGUGGGGGCACCGGGCACGGCCCCCACCGGGAGCCGGGGGCACUGGGAAAAGGGGCACCGGGACUGGGACCUGCCUCAACAGGAGCGGGGCACCGGGAGCAGGACCUGCCCCACCGGGAGCAGGAAUGCCGGGGGCAGCCCCCAGGUUACCGGUGGCACCGGGUACAGCCCCCUACAGACCCGGGACGUGCCCCAUGGGGUACCGGGGACACCAGGGACAGCCCACGGGGGACCAAGGGGACCAACCACACCCCCCCCCCCAAGGAGUGGGGCCACCGGGCACGGCCCCCUGCAGGACCAGGCCCUGUCCCAAGGGGAACCGGGGACACCGGGCCCUGCCAUGCACGGUACCGGGGGCACCAGCAGGGCCCACACCGGCCUCGGUGCUCCAGGCCCUGCCCCGCAGCAGCCUGGGGACACCGGGGCCGGCCCCACACAGGACUGGGAACACGGGGCCUGUGCCCCCCAGCCCCUGCCCUGCCGCACACGGCCCCCACAGCCCCCGGUGUCCCACGGCUGAGCACCGGGGCGCUGAGCACCGGGGCCGGGCCGUCCCGCAGCCCCGCGGGCCUUAUACGGGCACGGCCGGGCCGGCGGCUGCGCAUUCCCGGGGGCUGAGCUCACCCCGCGGCCCCCCUCCCCGCCACGCUGCCGGUCACCGGCUUCCCGUCCUCGGUCCUCGGGGUCGCCCCGGGUGCCUGGCUCCGAACCCCCAACCGCUGCCAACGGGGCCGAGCGUCACCCCAAAAACGGGCCAAAAAAAAAACUUGUCCUGCUCCCUUCCGUGCCUUCUGUGCUGCUGCCUCGCUCCUGCCCCGCUGUGCGCCAAAAUCCGGCGUUGCGACGGCGUCAGCCCAGGCUAA